rnacentral:rRNA from 1 species
AGGACGAACGCUGGCGGCGUGCUUCACACAUGCAAGUCGAACGGGGCUCAUUCGGUGGUAACACCGGAGAAGGCCUAGUGGCGAACGGGUGCGUAACACGUGAAGAACCUGCCCCGAAGACUGGGAUAACAGCGGGAAACCGCUGCUAAUACCGGAUGACCCCACCAGGCCGCAUGGCCAGGUGAGGAAAUGGGCCUACCGCUUCGGGAGGGCUUCGCGGCCUAUCAGCUUGUUGGUGGGGUAACGGCCUACCAAGGCUACGACGGGUAGCUGGUCUGAGAGGACGACCAGCCACACUGGGACUGAGACACGGCCCAGACUCCUACGGGAGGCAGCAGUGGGGAAUCUUGCGCAAUGGGCGAAAGCCUGACGCAGCAACGCCGCGUGAGGGAUGAAGGUCUUCGGGUUGUAAACCUCUUUCGAGCAGGACGAUGUGACGGUACUGCAGAAGAAGCUCCGGCAACUACGCGCCAGCAGCCGCGU